rnacentral:rRNA from 1 species
GGUUAAGCGACUAAGCGUACACGGUGGAUGCCCUGGCAGUCAGAGGCGAUGAAGGACGUGCUAAUCUGCGAAAAGCGUCGGUAAGGUGAUAUGAACCGUUACAGCCGGCGAUGUCCGAAUGGGGAAACCCAGUGUGAUUCGUCACACUAUCGUUAACUGAAUACAUAGGUUAACGAGGCGAACCGGGGGAACUGAAACAUCUAAGUACCCCGAGGAAAAGAAAUCAACCGAGAUUCCCCCAGUAGCGGCGAGCGAACGGGGAGCAGCCCAGAGUCUGAAUCAGCUUGUGUGUUAGUGGAACGGUCUGGAAAGUCCGACGGUACAGGGUGAUAGUCCCGUACACCAAAAUGCACAGGCUGUGAACUCGAAGAGUAGGGCGGGACACGUGGUAUCCUGUCUGAAUAUGGGGGGACCAUCCUCCAAGGCUAAAUACUCCUGACUGACCGAUAGUGAACCAGUACCGUGAGGGAAAGGCGAAAAGAACCCCGGCGAGGGGAGUGAAAAAGAACCUGAAACCGUGUACGUACAAGCAGUGGGAGCACCUUCGGGUGUGACUGCGUACCUUUUGUAUAAUGGGUCAGCGACUUAUAUUCUGUAGCAAGGUUAACCGUAUAGGGGAGCCGCAGGGAAACCGAGUCUUAACUGGGCGUUAAGUUGCAGGGUAUAGACCCGAAACCCGGUGAUCUAGCCAUGGGCAGGUUGAAGGUUGGGUAACACUAACUGGAGGACCGAACCGACUAAUGUUGAAAAAUUAGCGGAUGACUUGUGGCUGGGGGUGAAAGGCCAAUCAAACCGGGAGAUAGCUGGUUCUCCCCGAAAGCUAUUUAGGUAGCGCCUCGUGAACUCAUCUUCGGGGGUAGAGCACUGUUUCGGCUAGGGGGUCAUCCCGACUUACCAACCCGAUGCAAACUACGAAUACCGAAGAAUGUUAUCACGGGAGACACACGGCGGGUGCUAACGUCCGUCGUGAAGAGGGAAACAACCCAGACCGCCAGCUAAGGUCCCAAAGUCAUGGUUAAGUGGGAAACGAUGUGGGAAGGCACAGACAGCCAGGAUGUUGGCUUAGAAGCAGCCAUCAUUUAAAGAAAGCGUAAUAGCUCACUGGUCGAGUCGGCCUGCGCGGAAGAUGUAACGGGGCUAAACCAUGCACCGAAGCUGCGGCAGCGACACUAUGUGUUGUUGGGUAGGGGAGCGUUCUGUAAGCCUGCGAAGGUGUGCUGUGAGGCAUGCUGGAGGUAUCAGAAGUGCGAAUGCUGACAUAAGUAACGAUAAAGCGGGUGAAAAGCCCGCUCGCCGGAAGACCAAGGGUUCCUGUCCAACGUUAAUCGGGGCAGGGUGAGUCGACCCCUAAGGCGAGGCCGAAAGGCGUAGUCGAUGGGAAACAGGUUAAUAUUCCUGUACUUGGUGUUACUGCGAAGGGGGGACGGAGAAGGCUAUGUUAGCCGGGCGACGGUUGUCCCGGUUUAAGCAUGUAGGCUGGUUAUCCAGGCAAAUCCGGAUAAUCAAGGCUGAGGUGUGAUGACGAGGCACUACGGUGCUGAAGUAACAAAUGCCCUGCUUCCAGGAAAAGCCUCUAAGCAUCAGGUAACAUCAAAUCGUACCCCAAACCGACACAGGUGGUCAGGUAGAGAAUACCAAGGCGCUUGAGAGAACUCGGGUGAAGGAACUAGGCAAAAUGGUGCCGUAACUUCGGGAGAAGGCACGCUGGUGUGUAGGUGAAGUCCCUGCGGAUGGAGCUGAGACCAGUCGAAGAUACCAGCUGGCUGCAACUGUUUAUUAAAAACACAGCACUGUGCAAACACGAAAGUGGACGUAUACGGUGUGACGCCUGCCCGGUGCCGGAAGGUUAAUUGAUGGGGUUAUCCGUAAGGAGAAGCUCUUGAUCGAAGCCCCGGUAAACGGCGGCCGUAACUAUAACGGUCCUAAGGUAGCGAAAUUCCUUGUCGGGUAAGUUCCGACCUGCACGAAUGGCGUAAUGAUGGCCAGGCUGUCUCCACCCGAGACUCAGUGAAAUUGAACUCGCUGUGAAGAUGCAGUGUACCCGCGGCAAGACGGAAAGACCCCGUGAACCUUUACUAUAGCUUGACACUGAACAUUGAGCCUUGAUGUGUAGGAUAGGUGGGAGGCUUUGAAGCGUGGACGCCAGUCUGCGUGGAGCCAACCUUGAAAUACCACCCUUUAAUGUUUGAUGUUCUAACGUUGGCCCCUGACCGGGGUUGCGGACAGUGUCUGGUGGGUAGUUUGACUGGGGCGGUCUCCUCCCAAAGCGUAACGGAGGAGCACGAAGGUUAGCUAAUCCUGGUCGGACAUCAGGAGGUUAGUGCAAUGGCAUAAGCUAGCUUGACUGCGAGCGUGACGGCGCGAGCAGGUGCGAAAGCAGGUCAUAGUGAUCCGGUGGUUCUGAAUGGAAGGGCCAUCGCUCAACGGAUAAAAGGUACUCCGGGGAUAACAGGCUGAUACCGCCCAAGAGUUCAUAUCGACGGCGGUGUUUGGCACCUCGAUGUCGGCUCAUCACAUCCUGGGGCUGAAGUAGGUCCCAAGGGUAUGGCUGUUCGCCAUUUAAAGUGGUACGCGAGCUGGGUUUAGAACGUCGUGAGACAGUUCGGUCCCUAUCUGCCGUGGGCGCUGGAGAAUUGAGGGGGGCUGCUCCUAGUACGAGAGGACCGGAGUGGACGCAUCACUGGUGUUCGGGUUGUCAUGCCAAUGGCACUGCCCGGUAGCUAAAUGCGGAAGAGAUAAGUGCUGAAAGCAUCUAAGCACGAAACUUGCCCCGAGAUGAGUUCUCCCUGAGACU